UUUGGGAUCAUGUGGACAUAGGCAGCAGCAAUCUCCCUGUGGAAGACCGUGUCUUGGUUGUAGGAAAUGAGUUCAUUACUGAUGUUUACCGUCUGCACAGGGGUCCGGAAGCAGAGGUGGCUGCACCCCAGCAGCUGGGCGAACACCUUCCGGAAGUCUGCAUUAAAGGCAUAGAUGAUGGGGUUGAGAGAGGAGUUGGCCCAGCCAAACCAGACGAAUAUGUCGAAGGUGGUCUCGCUGACACAAGGGAAGCCAGUCCUUGGGCCCUGGGCAUCUCCACUGCUGCAGAAGGGAACCAUACAGUUCAGGAUGAAGAAAGGCAGCCAGCAGCACACGAAGACCCCCAUGAUCACUGACAGGGUUUUGAAGACCUUGGUCUCCUUCUUGAUGGACGCUCGCAGGCUGGGGUCAGGUUCGCAGGCUCCCCGGCUCUGGCUCCGGCAACUCUGAGCAUGCUCAGCUGCCCUCUCUAGGGAGGAGAUCCGGCGGAUCUGAACCUGUGCAAUGCGGUAGAUGCGCGUGUAGGUCACUAUCAUGAUGGCUACCGGGAUAUAGAAGCUGAUGAGCGAUGAGGAAAUGGCGUAGGUUCGGUUCAGGCUGGAGUCACAGUUCUCUGUUCUCCCUUCUAGCUCCCAACCUUCCUCCCAGGGUGUCUCAUUGGACAGCAGGCCCUCUCGGCCCUGGGAGCCUGCCUUGUCUCUGUGCCAAUUGAGUUGGACCGGGAUGAAGGAGAUGAGGAUGGACAAGGUCCAGGCCAGGGCCACCAUGACCAGGGCUACACGCUGGGUCAUCUUGCGCUCGUAGCGGAAGGGUCUGGAAAUAGCCCAGUAACGGUCCACGCUGAUGAUACACAGAUUCAGGAUGGAAGCAGUGGAGCACAUGAUGUCAAAGGCCACCCAGAUGUCGCAGAAUGCCCCAAAGGGCCAGUACCCGGCCACCUCAGCCACGGCCUUCCAGGGCAUGACUAGCAAUGCCACGAAGAGGUCUGAGACGGCCAGGGAUACGAUGAAGAUGUUGGUCAUUUUGGCGCGCAGGUGGCGGCUGCGGACGAUAGCAGCACACACUAGGACGUUGCCGAGCAAGGUCCAGACGAUUAGGAGAGUCAGGAGGCCAGCGGUGACCACCUGCGCGGGUCCCAGCCGGGCUGCCGAGCCCCCGGGGGCGUCCACCUGCGCCAGUUGCCUCUGCAGCCCCAGCCGCGCCCGAUGUGCGGUGCCAUUGCGCCCAGGAGGCAGCAUGUCGCGCUGGGUAGCUCGGACUCACUGCGUGCUAUCCCAACUUGGCCCCUGCGCCCCGCGGAAGGCCCCAUCGGGCACCCCAGAGGGUGCUCCCAGCCCUGCAGCUGAUGGUCCCCGGACCCGAGGGGCGCUCACCCUGCACUGCCUGGGAUCCUUUAAUGGUAUCAGUCUUGCGCGCCUCUAGUCCCCAGGAUGGGACAGGAAGCGACUGGUGCCCGCGGGCCGAUCCUGUUGGCAGCGCGCCGGACGGCGGCUGCCGCUGCGUCUGGUUCUGAGUCGUAGAAACGCAGAGCGGCCGCCAACGGGGGCGGGGUCCAGAGUCGCGGGUACCGGGCGAUCUCUCUAGCGCGGUGGCUGCCACGGCACGCGCGCCCGCCCCUAUCAGUCACGCUUCUGCGGCCCGCGCGCCCUCCCACCUGCGUCCUGGAAUUGUGACUGUGCUGUCUUCUUCCAACUUUAGAGGCCACACACAGGUCCGAGAGUGGCCCCGGUGCCACACCCUCGCCCCAAGCCCAGGAAUUGGCUUCUCCCAAACACCAGGUGCCUCUCCUGGACCACCUCUGGGUGGAGAAGUAGAUCGCAGAGGCCUCUAGACAAACCAGACUUGGAGGAUAAGGGGGUGGCCUUCGAUGUCACAACCUCAUCCCGAACCCCUAUUCUGGGUCACAGGACCCUGAAUUCUCUACUCAGCUUUUUUGGUCCUUGUUUUCUUCUCCUAGAAAGAGUGACAAAAAGGUCGCCUUCCUGGGUGCGCAAGGAUUUGAGAGAGUCACCCAGAAGGUAAUCCGGUGUUGCCUCCUGUUCCUGUGGCUUACCCUCCUCCUAGAAGCACUUGCGCUUUGAGCAGCUCCCGAGGCCCCUGCAUCUGAACCUCCAAUACCUUUGCACCUUUCACCUUGCUCCCCAUCUUUCUGCUGGGAGAGACGGACAGACCACCUGUCCCGGUGCCAGAGCACGAACUGGACAGUCACCCUUCACUCCUGCCUUUCCUCUCUGCGGCUUGUGGCCUUGUCUCUGAUUUCAUUAAGAUGCUUUAAAAAUAUGCAGCUCCAUCCAUCAACACCCAAGCACUGUUGAUGGGAUGGAUACAGCACAUGCAUGUCAUAGAAGGAAGAGGUUUGCAUAGUGAAGCAAGGGAGGAUCAGAUCAACCAUGGACUCUGUUUCCCAAUGUCCACAAAACUGCUGUUCAUGUCAGAGGCACAGCUACAACCUACAGAUCUUGCUUAGGCCUUGGGGUCACAGAAUCACAGACCUGCUCCUUCCCAUCUGGGCCUUGGCUUCUAAGAAGAGACAAAUAAUAAUAAGAGGUUUAUUAUUAUUUGGACUGAGGGUAUAUCUCCAUGAUAGAACAUGGUCUUAGUGUGCAUGAGAACCGGGGUUCAAUCCGCAGCACC
rnacentral:lncRNA from 1 species